AAGCGGAGGAAAAGAAACCAACAGGGAUUGCCCCAGUAACGGCGAGUGAAGCGGCAAUAGCUCAAAUUUGAAAUCUGGCUCUUUCAGGGUCCGAGUUGUAAUUUGCAGAGGGCGCUUUGGCGUCGGCAGCAGCCUAAGUUCCUUGGAACAGGUCAUCAUAGAGGGUGAGAAUCCCGUAUGUGGCUGCUUGUCUUCGCCGUGUAAAGCCCCUUCGAUGAGUCGAGUUGUUUGGGAAUGCAGCUCUAAAUGGGAGGUAAAUUUCUUCUAAAGCUAAAUAUUGGCCAGAGACCGAUAGCGCACAAGUAGAGUGAUCGAAAGAUGAAAAGCACUUUGGAAAGAGAGUCAAAAAGCACGUGAAAUUGUUGAAAGGGAAGCGCUUGCAGCCAGACGUGCCCGUAGUUGCUCAUCGGGGGUUCUCCCCCGUGUACUCUUCUAUGGGCAGGCCAGCAUCAGUCCGGGCGGUUGGAGAAAGACCUGUGUCAUGUAGCUGUUUUCGGGCAGUGUUAUAGGGCAGGUGGAAUGCAACCAGCCUGGACUGAGGUCCGCGCAUCUGCUAGGAUGCUGGCGUAAUGGCUGUAAGCGGCCCGUCUUGAAACACGGACCAAGGAGUCUAACAUCUAUGCGAGUGUUUGGGUGUCAAGCCCGAGCGCGUAAUGAAAGUGAACGGAGGUGGGAACCUUUUAGGUGCACCAUCGACCGAUCCUGAUGUCUUCGGAUGGAUUUGAGUAAGAGCAUAGCUGUUGGGACCCGAAAGAUGGUGAACUAUGCCUGAAUAGGGUGAAGCCAGAGGAAACUCUGGUGGAGGCUCGCAGCGGUUCUGACGUGCAAAUCGAUCGUCAAAUUUGGGCAUAGGGGCGAAAGACUAAUCGAA
rnacentral:rRNA from 1 species